UACAGAGGGUGCAAGCGUUAAUCGGAAUUACUGGGCGUAAAGCGUGCGUAGACGGUUACAUAAGUCGGGUGUGAAAGCCCCGGGCUCAACCUGGGAAUUGCAUUCGAGACUGCGUAGCUAGGGUGCGGAAGAGGGAGGCGGAAUUUCCGGUGUAGCGGUGAAAUGCGUAGAUAUCGGAAGGAACACCAGUGGCGAAAGCGGCUUCCUGGUCCAGCACCGACGUUCAGGCACGAAAGCGUGGGGAGCAAACAGG
rnacentral:rRNA from 1 species